AACGAACGCUGGCGGCAUGCCUAACACAUGCAAGUCGAACGAGACCUUCGGGUCUAGUGGCGCACGGGUGCGUAACGCGUGGGGAUCUGCCCUUGGGUUCGGAAUAACAGUUAGAAAUGACUGCUAAUACCGGAUAAUGUCUUCGGACCAAAGAUUUAUCGCCCAGGGAUGAGCCCGCGUAGGAUUAGCUAGUUGGUGAGGUAAAGGCUCACCAAGGCGACGAUCCUUAGCUGGUCUGAGAGGAUGAUCAGCCACACUGGGACUGAGACACGGCCCAGACUCCUACGGGAGGCAGCAGUGGGGAAUAAUUGGACAAUGGCGAAAGACCUGAUCCAGCAAUGCCGCGUGAGUGAUGAA
rnacentral:rRNA from 1 species